UCCUCCCUCUGGCGGCGUGCUUAACACAUGCAAGUCGAACGGAAAGGCCUGCUUUCCCUUGUGGAUUGCGGGUACUCGAGUGGCGAACGGGUGAGUAACACGUGAGUGAUCUGCCCCCAACUUGGGUAUAAGCCUGGGAAACUGGGUCUAAUUCCCGAUAGGACUGCAGGGUGGUGCCUGUGGUGGAAAACGAUUUUCUAGUGGUUGGGGAUGAGCUCGCGGCCUAUCAGCUUGUUGGUGGGGUAAUGGCCUACCAAGGCGGCGACGGGUAGCCGGCCUGAGAGGGUGGACGGCCACAUUGGGACUGAGAUACGGCCCAGACUCCUACGGGAGGCAGCAGUGGGGAAUAUUGCACAAUGGGCGGAAGCCUGAUGCAGCGACGCCGCGUGGGGGAUGACGGCCUUCGGGUUGUAAACUCCUUUCGACCGCGAGGAAGCCACCUGGUUGGAAGGGUGGUGACGGUAGUGGUAGAAGAAGCACCGGCUAACUACGUG
rnacentral:rRNA from 1 species